rnacentral:rRNA from 1 species
GUACACACCGCCCGUCGCUGCUACCGAUUGGAUGAUCCGGUGAAAUCCUCGGAUUGAUGUAACUAUCUAGCAGCAAUGUUAGAUGUUAUAUUGAGAAGUUGAUUAAACCUUAUCAUCUAGAGGAAGCAAAAGUCGUAACAAGGUUUCCGUAGGUGAACCUGCAGAAGGAUCA